GGGAAAUCAGUGGUGGUGGGAGAUGUGAGGGCCUGGCUUCUCUUCUCCCGCCCCCUUUCUGCUCUCCGUCUUCUUGGGGUUGGGGGAGGGGCCAGUUUGGGAUGGAAGGGCCCCUCCCUCCAGGCUCUAAAGGUUCUGUGGCCCCUCCUCCGCCCGGCCUCAGGUCUCCCAGCAACCGUCUAAUCAAACGCAACGCUGUCCCCGCUGAGCUGAUGAGAACUAGGGCUGUCCAGGAGGCAGACACCCCGCCCCAUGGGCAAAGCGUCUCACCUUCACCCCAGAAAACAUGUCAACAGCUUCCCUGUGCCUGCACACCUAUUCACGGGCUGGAUGCUUAAGACAAAAAAGAUGUCCCUGACCACAGAGAGCCCAGUGGUCCAGUGGGAGAUCUGCUCUGGAUGAACAGAAAUGCGAGAGAAGUUGAUCCUAAGAGCAGUGCAAACACAGUCGAGCUGGAAAGGAGGACACAUCACGAGUCCAGGGAAUUAACAUGAACCACAAACAGGCCACGGGAGAGUGGAGGACCCGAAGGACCACCAUCUCCUCAUCAGGCUCUGACUCAGUUUCCUUGUCUGUAGAAUGGAUCACUGAACUAGCUCCUUGUGGACUUGAGAUGCAUUCUUCGAGCUUUGGAGUUCUAUAGGGGAGCUUGGACCAUUUCAGGGGGUAAUCGGGAGAGCAGAACAUGCGGGUCCAGCCCCCCACCCCCACUUCAACGAGAGCGAGAACUCUUAGCUGUUUUAUAUUUUGGAUUUCAGUGUGAAUUAAGUUCGUUAAAGGGUUGUACCACUUUUAAGCCCCUCUACCCUCUGUAAACUACUGGACUAGAUGAUUUCUUGGGUCUCUUCCAGCUCCGAGCUUAGAAUUGUCUCCUUUCUCUUAGAGUCAGCCCUUUCUCUACUGAGAAGGACAGAGAGAGAAACAAAUCCUGAGCUCUGAUUGCCAGUGGCCCCGUUAGGAAAUUCCACCCAAGGUCUGAUGUCCUGGGUGGACUCCUUCCCAAAUGCCCUGAGGAGUUCAGCCCCUCCGCCAAACCAGAAUAAACUGAUGAGCUGAUUCCUGGAAUUCCACUGUUAGAGCACCAUCCCUUUCAUUUAAGCCAAAGUCCCCCAAUUUUUUUUCAUGAGGAUGAAUUACAUUUCCUUUCAGUGAAUAGUGAAAAAGAGAGCUUGGGUUGCUGCCGAUAUACCUACAAGUUGUAUAAGAAGAGGGGGUUGUUAUUAUUGGCAAAGGCCAAAGUUUGGACAGCAGCCCACCAAAGGGCUCAGAGAUGUCCCAGCUAAGGCUUUCAGAGGGGAUGGAGGGUCUCCAGGGACGCCGAAGGAAAUUGUCAAGUAAUCAAAGAAUGAAUGGACAAACAAAGAGGCCAUUGCCAAAAUGGGCUUCUCUCUUGAAAGGGCCAGUGUAGAUGCUGUUAUCAGUCAUGUUUACCUUGGUGUGAGUGAAGUCUCUUAGAGCAAGAAUUGGUGGGGAGGAGGAAAGGUUUUAGAAACUAGAUGUCACUAUAUAAAAACAUAACACAAAAAGAAAGGUGACGAGGGCAAGACAGUCACUCGAAUAACUCUGUCCUGGCCUGGACCACCUGCCAUCUCCCAUCUUACCUCACCCAACCCCUAGCCUCCUCUUCACACUCUGCCUUUCUUCCCUGGAGGCCCAGCCCAGCUCAGGGCCUGGUGCUGAAAAGAGCUUUCAGGGUGAAGGGAAAGAUAUUUGGCCUGGAGCAGGUGGGGAGAGAAAGGGGGUGUCAGUCUGUGCCAUCCUGAUGGGUGUGGCCCACUCAGGGUAAACAUGGAGGAGGGGCAGUGGCUUCCAGCCUCCUGAGCGAUGGGGAGGAAGGAGUGGAAAUUCCUACCUGCCUUCUGCUCCCUUCCCCACCUGCAGCCACAGCCCUGCACGUCACAAACAAAGCUCCGGUAGGAAGUCAAGGAGUCUUUGCAAUGGCAUCUGCCCCUGCCCAGGGCCUCUGCCCUUGGCAGGAUCCAGGACAGGCCUUGGCUCCAGCCUUCAGCGCCUGGACCCCAGGACCGCCCACAGUCUCAGAGGCCUCUGCCCUGGCCCACUUCCCCGGCCCCAUUCCCCACUUAGGAGCAGCUUCUGUCUGCAAAGCCGGGGUAGGUUUAAAAAAACAAAAUCGAUAGAAACUCCAGCGGGUCUUGCACAUUCUUGGUUGAGAAGUCAGGUGUGCAACUUAGAACAACAGGCCACUUCACCUCUCUGGAUUUCAGAGUCUUCCUCAACGGACAAAAUCAGCGUGAAGACAGCUUGAAAAGUAUACAGCCCCUUUCAAGGGUCAGCAAUAAAUAUUAGGCCACUUAAUCGUGGGUUCAAAUCUUGCCUCCACCUCCCACUAGCUGGGUGCUCUUAGCCAAGUUACUAAGUUUUUGGCACCUCAGUUUGCUCAUCAGAGGUGCUCCUGUGACCUAUCUCAAAACUUUGGGAGGUGGGUUAAAUGAGAUAAUGUGUGCAAACCACCCAGCCCAGGCCCCACAGGUAGCAGAGGUUACUUGUCUAUGACUAAAUUCCCUCGAACUGGAGAUUGUAAGAUGCACCGUUGUUUUAUGUUCCACUAAGAAAGAAAUGCUGCUGUCAAUGGAUUGAGAGACACAUCUCAGAUUUCAGAGACAUGUGCACCUUAGAAUUGAUGAAAUACUGUAUCAUUGGGAGGACGAGGAGGGGGCAAGAAGAAUGUCAGUCCCGGGGCUGGCCUUGGCAAGCCAUGCUGUGGUACGUGUCCCACGUAUAAAGUAGAGGAAGAUGGGCACGGCUGUUAGCUUAGGGCCAGUCUUCCUCAGCAAAAAAGAGGAGGAUUGGUAGCAGAUGUUAGCUCAGGGCUAAUCUUCCUCAAAAAGAAUAAAAAAAAGACUGUCAAUCCCAGUGGUAGUAGCUUUCCAUUUGGGAUGCAUUUUAGACUAGGAUGCCCAGAUUGCAUCCCAAUUAAACCAUAACCUCUGGGGUGUGGCCCAGUAAUCUCUCUGUGCCUUGGUCUCCCGCUCUAUAAAACUGGGAUAAUUCUAGAAUCUACUUCUGGGGCUGUUGUAUUGAAUGAGCUAAUUCAUGUAAACAAUUUAGAAUAGUGCCAGGCCCACAGAAAUGUUGAAAUAAAUGUUAACGAUUACUCAACUCUGUACCCCAGGUCCUGGCACACUCUAGGUGCUUCCUAAAUGUGGGUUGAAUAGAGGAGUAAACACCGUCAUGUGACUGCUGCCCUGCCGGCCUGGCCCCCAACUGGGAGAGGCCCAAGUCUGGGGGCGGCCUCUGUCUGGGGGUGGGGGCCCAAGAAGAGGCUCACCUGCCCAAGGGCCUUCUGUCCAAAGUUCAAGGGAGCCGCACCCUUCCCUUCCUGGGCGCUGCACCCCGCCCCCUAGGGCUGCCGUGGGGUGGGCGCUCCCCCGCCAGACCCGCCACAGCCUCCUGGAGUCAAUGACAAGAAGCAAACCUCUCCCCCGGUCUCCACCCCUCCCCUUUCCUGCUUUUCUUAUGUUCUUUUCCAUAAAGAUUAGUCUGUGUUGCUCCUCUAUCAAGGCCUGGAGGAUAAACAUGUGGUCCAGAGGCAGAGAAACCCCAGGCUUGAAGGCCCCGCUGCCCCCACCCAGGCAGCGUAAACCCAGGGCUUUUAAGCAAGGAAUGGUUUUCAGUAAAUCUCUCCUAUCAGCAGAAACCUUUGAAAGAGUUUGUUUAAAGGCCAGGGAGAUAAACAGCAAGGAGAAGUGUUUGUUUAAGAUGUAUGUUCUGUGUGGCCACUCUGGGGCCCGGAUUCACAUCUAAGGGAGAGGAGCCACUCAGAGACCAGGGUGGGGGCCUCCCAGGGGCGCCCAGGGCCUGUGGGUGUGGACUCCAGCCCAGGCAGGGACGGAGUUGUCAGGGGAGAGAAGCGAGCUGGACUGCACCUGCAGGCCCCUCCCAGGCUGGGGCAGGACACGGGGGUGGAAAGGAGCUGCAGGAAGGGGAAGGAGCCCUCCUCACCCUGUCAGGAGGGCAGGGAGGGGCUCCCAGAAGGAGCUGCUGGUUGGCUGCAGGCAGAAAUCCCCCGGGAAGCCCGCUGCCCCGCCCCCAACUCAAAGUUCAGAACAGGCCCAGCUCAGGGCCCACCCCAGAUGGCCCAUACUCAGCAGCCCAAAAUAAAGGAGGACUCGAAUCUGGGUAUCGCAGGCUCUGACCUUGGACAAGCCACCUACCCCAUAACUCGAGCCCUAGUUCCUCUCUGUUGUGAAAAUAACACGCCUGUCUCAAAGGAUUUUGAAUAUUCCUCUUUCCAUCUGACGAACAGGCAUUGAGUACCUGCUUUAUACCAGAUACUGUUCUGAGUGCUUGGGAUACAACGGUAAACAAAAUAAACCAAGUCUCUGCCCAUUUGGAACCUAAAAUGGAGGGAAAUAGACAAUGAGCAUGAUAAUGAGUAAAUUACAUAUUACAUUAGAAGGUGAUGGGGGCCAGCCCCAUGGCCGAGUGGUUGAGUUCACACGCUCCACUUCGGCAGCCCAGGGUUUCGCUGGUUUAGAUCCUGGGCGCGGACAUGGCACCGCUCGUCAAGCCAUGCUGAGGCGGCGGCCCACAUGCCACAACUAGGAGGACCCACAACUAAAAAAAAAAAAUACACAACUAUGUACCAGGGGACUUUGGGGAGAAAAAGAAAAAAUAAAAUCUUAAAGAAAAAAAAAAAAAAAAGAGGCAGAAGGUGAUGGGAGCUAUGGAAAGAAAUGGAGCAGGGUACAAGGAAUUGGGAAUGGAUGGUCUGGUUUGGGCUAACUGAGCAGGUGGCUUUGAAGGAGAUGCAGAUCUCAGAGGGGAGAGGGGUCCAGGCAGAACCUCAGCCAGGGCAACACCUGGGGAACUGAAUGAAAUGCCCUGUGUGAAACGCAUGGCACAAGCUCUGGAGCAUGGUCCUGUGGUCAUAAAUAAUGGCGGAUGUUGUCGUUAAAGCAAUUAUUAGGGCAGGGGGGCUCUCAGGGAGGAAGCAGGACCUGAGCUGGGCUUCCCCUGGAAUUCCUUGUCCCUACCAAGUAGACAGGAGAUAAGGCAUCUCUGGAGCAAAGCAUCUUGGAGAUGGGGAGACAGGCAGACUAAUGACAGGGCUCGUGGUACCUGAGGAGUCUGGGGACAAAGGCAGCUGGAUUCUCUAGGAAAGCCCUCAGCCAGGAGCAGGAGUCUGGGCUCAGGUCCUGGCUCUGCCCCUUGCCUGCCAGGUCAUCUGGAGCAAGUGAAGUGACUUACUGCUCCCUGGGUCUUUCUUUCCAGUAAAUGGGAAUAAUAUAUCCUGCCCUCACAGGACGAUCGGGAGGAUGGAAGGGGGCACAGUGGGUGCUUGUGCCUGGGACACAGUAGAUGCUCGGUAAACAUUAGGUGUAUUUUGGGCUCUCUCAUUCUUUCAGAGUCCUUUUCGGUUCUUCCAUGGGAGGCUGAGCUGGCUGGUGAUGGGCCCAGCAGGUCCCAGAAUUGAAGAAGCUGUUGGAUCACUGAGCAUUGUCAUCAUGCAGCUGCAAGGCUGUCCCACUGGGGAAAGUUUAGAUUUGUUCCUGGGCUCCAAACGGAAGGUGGGAAUUCCAGGGAAACAGAUUUUCACUGCUCUCAGGAGGAAUUUUCCAGUAGCGAGAGCGGUGCAGCAGUGGAAUGGAUCUCUUGAGAGUUGGUGAGCUCCUGCUGAUGGGAGUCCUGUGAGCAGAGGUGGCUGAGUUUUGGAUGGAGAUUAAGCAGAGGGGCCCCCUGCUCUGGGAGGAGUUUGGGGAUCCCUCCCAGCUGUGAGAUUGGGGGCCCUAUUCGAGGCUCCACAGUCCACGGAGAUCUGCCUACACUCCAGACUUCCUCCAUUACCUCGUGAAAACUUGCCUGACUUGUGUCCUUAGGGUUCUGCCAUGAGAGGCCAGCAUAUUAGUCCUGCCAGGUAACCCAGGGGCAGUUAACAGGGUAAGGAUGUGUUAACUCAAAGGUAUGAGGAACGGAGCAAUUUCAGGCACCGUGAGAGACCGAGGGACAGAGAUGUUUGGGGAAACGUGCCGGAGUAGUUUAGCAGAUAAUUCCUAGUACCCUGCAAACUCUACCUACAAGAAGAUGAACUUCGGCUAAGAUCACAGACCUGAGGGCCCCCCUCGACCCUCCUCAAGAACCAGCAGAAGGACCAGGGGAUCUCUGGGCGCCUUCUCCCUGCCGCACAGAUGCCUUGCCAAGGAGAACUCGCUUGCCUGGCAGCUGGAAGCCUGCACUUUUCUUUUCAAAGCCUCUGCAUCUCCUUUCCCUCCUCCUUCCUCCACCCCCCCCCCCCAAAAAAGGAGGAUGCCCCUUCUGUUGAGUACACAGCCUGUAAUUUUGCUGUCAGAUCUCAGCCAGGAGGUCAGUGUUGUGACUGACUGUGUAAGGAUCGCUCCCUUAAGGGUAAUUACACUAAAUUCCCCUCUGAAGGACAGCUCUCUCUGGAUAGAAUACAAGAAAACCCCGCAUCCCCCAUUCACGGAAAUUCAUGAUUUCUGUGGUUGUCACCGGCACCCGGGCAGCGAGACACUGAGACGCUCCAACUACUCAGAGGUUGGCUUUCGGUGCCCAUCACCUGCUCUGCCCUGUACUAGGCACUGAAGGGGGACCCAGAGAUGGGCAGCAGCCCCCUCUGAAAAGAGCUGGAGGGCUCUUGGGCAAAACAAAGCAGCCCCACAUGAAAAGUGAGUUAGUAUCCAAGCCCCCCACCCUCCCCGCCACCACCAUCCCCAGACCCCUUCAGAGGGGCAACGCCCUGACCUUUGUCCCCAUCUGCCUGGAGGUAGGAUGGCAGAAAUGGCCAAGACCUUCCAAAGGGAGUAUCCGCACCUCAGCAGCCCCUGCACGGGCCCUUCUCCCCACCCCAGGGAGACCCAGCGAGAGUUGGGGAGUCACUCACCCACGACAAACAGUUAAAAGGAAGAAAGCGGGUCUGGCGAUAUCAAUGCACUUUGAUAACAAUAAACUCCGCUUUUAAUUUAUGCUAAUGUGUAGGGCUGUGGUGACAGUAAGAACUAAAUUACAGAGUGGCUUUCGAGCUGGUAAUUAUCCCUCCAUUUUUCGCUGCUCUGGAAGAUGGACACACAAUUAUGCUCUCUUGCUGUAUAUUAAUACAGAUUCUUGACAUCUUCAGCAGACCUGGAGCUGUCAUGGAGCUUUUUGUCUCCUUUAAUUGAAAAUUAAUGGUUACUGGGUUGCCACGGAAACAGAGGCCACGGACGCCAGUGGCGCUCACGUCUCACCGAGGGACUGCCGGCGUCAGGAGUCCGGAAUGACCUUGAAAGUUAAAAGAAAAAAAAAAACUUAAAAAAGAAGGGGAGAGGGGGGAAAUGAGGACAGGAGGCUGGGAGAGUGUGUCAGAGCUGAAAGAAGAGAGGAGAGAGAGAGAAGAGAAAGAAAGGAGAGAAAGGAAGAGGGAGAGAAAGGAGAGGAAAAGAAAAGAUAAGAAUUAAAAAGAGAAAAUUGCAGAGGUUGGGAGCAGGGAAGCUUGAGAGGGGACAUUAAAGUGGUAAGUUUUACCUCUUGGUUUUUGUCUCUUACAUUUUUUCUAAAGGCCCGUUGAAACACUGGGAGCUGGGUCUCAGCUCCAAAAUCCUUGAUUCUACAAAUCUGUGUGAGGAAGAAUGACAGCAUCGCCCAGAGCCCCCGAGGGGAAGUGACAAAGGCUCCUGGGUGCCAUGGGCAGCAGCAGCAGACCAGGGGGCAGGGUGGAGGUGUGCGGUGUGGGCACCUCCCCAGGGCCAAGUGGGCUGUGCUGUCGAAAACGGGGGCUGCAGAGGGGACUUUGUCAUGGGGAGCCCGGGAGCUGCCCCAACAUUGCUCCCGCAGCAGUGAGCAGGUGAAAGGGCUCUGUUGGCUGGGCCUUCAGCCUGAAGACACAACAAAAGAACUCAAAUGAGUCAGAGAUGGGGGUACGAUGACGAAGCGGGAGGGUCCUGGCAGGGGGAGGCCAGGGGUGGUUUGCCCAGGAAGAUAAGAGAUAAAGGGAGGCAGUUCUCUGAGCCUCUAGGACAGCCCUCCAGGGAGGCCAGUGGCUCUGGGCUUAGGAAUGUUUUUUCCCUAAGAGAAGGUGGCAGGCUCAACUUAGGGGCACUGGGGACCCCUGAGCAUUCUAGCAGGAAAGGUGGGCUCUUUCCUGAUCAGCCCACCAUACCAGUUCUUCAGUCCUGAGCAUCAGCUCCAGAAAUACAAUUCAAUUCAACAAUUACUGGAUGUCCACAGUGAACCAGGAGCCAAGCUAGUGCAUCAGACGCAGAGCCGGCUCCCACUCCAGGCUCGGGGCAGACAGACACAUUAACAAACAAUUGCAAAAUUAGCUACCCCUCAGAGAUUUCUCUGCAAGGAUGUUCAUCACAGUAUUGUUUAUACUAGCAAAAAUCUAGAAAUAAUCUGGAUGACCAGCAAUUGAGAAUUGAUAAAAUGACAUGCCUUACCAUAUACCCCAAAGAUGGCACUGCACAGUCAUUUUAAAUUAUACUGAAGUCAAAUUAUAUUCAGUGACCUGGGGGAAAAGUUCACAAUAUUUUGUUUAGUGAAAAAAACAGUUUACAAAAUGGUAAUGUAUUCAUGAU
ensembl:lncRNA